AGAGUUUGAUCCUGGCUCAGAACGAACGCUGGCGGCAGGCUUAACACAUGCAAGUCGAACGCAUCCUUCGGGGUGAGUGGCAGACGGGUGAGUAACGCGUGGGAACGUGCCCUUCAGUUCGGGAUAACCCAGGGAAACUUGGGCUAAUACCGGAUACGUGCGAGAGCAGAAAGAUUUAUCGCUGAAGGAUCGGCCCGCGUCUGAUUAGCUAGUUGGUGGGGUAAUGGCCCACCAAGGCGACGAUCAGUAGCUGGUCUGAGAGGAUGAUCAGCCACAUUGGGACUGAGACACGGCCCAAACUCCUACGGGAGGCAGCAGUGGGGAAUAUUGGACAAUGGGCGCAAGCCUGAUCCAGCCAUGCCGCGUGAGUGAUGAAGGCCUUAGGGUUGUAAAGCUCUUUCGUCCGGGACGAUAAUGACGGUACCGGAAGAAGAAGCCCCGGCUAACUUCGUGCCAGCAGCCGCGGUAAUACGAAGGGGGCUAGCGUUGUUCGGAAUCACUGGGCGUAAAGGGCGCGUAGGCGGCUUUGUAAGUCGGGGGUGAAAGCCUGUGGCUCAACCACAGAAUUGCCUUCGAUACUGCAUGGCUUGAGACCGGAAGAGGUAAGUGGAACUGCGAGUGUAGAGGUGAAAUUCGUAGAUAUUCGCAAGAACACCAGUGGCGAAGGCGGCUUACUGGUCCGGUUCUGACGCUGAGGCGCGAAAGCGUGGGGAGCAAACAGGAUUAGAUACCCCAGUAGUCC
rnacentral:rRNA from 1 species